rnacentral:rRNA from 1 species
UACGGGGGGAGCAAGCGUUGUUCGGAUUUACUGGGCGUAAAGGGCGCGUAGGCGGCCAGCACAAGUCAGUUGUGAAAUCUCCGAGCUUAACUCGGAAAGGUCAACUGAUACUGUGCGGCUAGAGUGCGGAAGGGGCAACUGGAAUUCUUGGUGUAGCGGUGAAAUGCGUAGAUAUCAGGAGGAACACCAGCGGCGAAGGCGGCGCUCUGGGCCGGAACUGACGCUGAGGAGCGAAAGCGUGGGUAGCAAACAGG